rnacentral:rRNA from 1 species
GACGAACGCUGGCGGCGUGCCUAAUACAUGCAAGUCGAGCGGAUCGAUGGGAGCUUGCUCCCUGAGAUCAGCGGCGGACGGGUGAGUAACACGUGGGUAACCUGCCUGUAAGACUGGGAUAACUCCGGGAAACCGGGGCUAAUACCGGAUAACUCAGUUCCUCGCAUGAGGAACGGUUGAAAGGUGGCUUUUCGCUACCACUUACACAUGGACCCGCGGCGCAUUAGCUAGUUGGUGAGGUAACGGCUCACCAAGGCGACGAUGCGUAGCCGACCUGAGAGGGUGAUCGGCCACACUGGGACUGAGACACGGCCCAGACUCCUACGGGAGGCAGCAGUAGGGAAUCUUCCGCAAUGGACGAAAGUCUGACGGAGCAACGCCGCGUGAGUGAAGAAGGUUUUCGGAUCGUAAAACUCUGUUGUUAGGGAAGAACAAGUGCCGUUCGAAUAGGGCGGCACCUUGACGGUACCUAACCAGAAAGCCACGGCUAACUACGUGCCAGCAGCCGCGGUAACAC